CGCCUGCCUGCCUCCUGCUCCUCCUCCUCCCAGCUGGGGAGGGGACCAGUGAGGGGUCUCUCCCUGGCCAGGAGACGGUGGCCAAGGGACUUGACUUUGAACUACCAACAAGCUCACGUUUGGCAGCUGCAAAGACAAAGGCUAGACUUUUAGCAGGUUUUUGGGGGAGCCUGGGGCACCUGGGGGAGGCAGAAGAGACUUAUCAGAGGGGAGAGACUCCUGGGACGGAAGGACUGGGGGUUCGAUUGCGGGGUGUUUCCAGCUGGAAUGAUACGUGCUGGUGAGAGAGUGAUGUCAGUAUUGAGGCCCUAGAAUGGGGGGAAAGGAACAUGGCCCCCAACACACGUGCCCAUGACCUCCUGUCCCUGGAACUCAGAUCUGGGGGCAGGGACUGGGCUAGGCCAGGGCUAUAAAUACAGCUGGGAGGGGUAGGGGGACUCAGGUUACGGAGGCCACAGCUGUCCCCAUCACAGAGGGCUGGCAGGAGACAAGUGGCCUUGCCCGUCUCUGUGUGUCAGUAUUUCCUACUCCUCACCCUUCAUGACUGCCCCCACUAGGGUCUCCUUUCCUGUUCACGGGUCCUCCUCUCUCUUCAAUUCUGUCAUCUGCUCUCUCAGGGUCCCUGUCCCUCCUCCAUGGGAUUGCCUCUCCCUCUCACUCUGGGCUUCUGUCCCACUCUUAUCUUAGUGUCAGUCCUCCCCCAAGUCUGUGUCCCUCUCUCUCCCCUAAAUCUCUGGCCCCUCCUUUCUGAGUUCCUGCCCUUCCCCCAAUUCUUUGGUUUUUGCAUCCCCCUCUGCCCCUUGCCUCAGUCAAGGUGUCUCCUCCCCAUCUCUGGCAUCCACCUCUCUGGGUCUCUGUCCCCACUCUCUCUCAGAGUCUCUGUCCCCCUCUGUCUCAGAGUCUCUGUCCACCUCUCCCUGGGUCUCUGUCCCCCUCUCUCUGGGUCUCUGUCCCCCUCUCCCUGGGUCUCUGUCCCCCUCUCUCUGUGGAUCUCUGUCCCCCUCUCUCUGGGUCUCUGUUCCCCUCUCUCUGUG
rnacentral:lncRNA from 1 species